rnacentral:rRNA from 1 species
GAUCCUGGCUUAGGACAAACGCUGGCGGCGUGCCUAACACGAUGCAAGUCGAACGGACCCUCGGGGUUAGUGGCAGACGGGUGAGUAACACGUAGGUAAUGUACCUUCUUGGCUGGGGGAUACCGUACCCGAAAAGGGUCGGUUAAUACCGAAUGGUCUCAUGCUGCGGGCAUACGCGGUAUGAGUAAAGUGUUCAGCGCGAGAGGAUCAGCCUGCGGGCCAUCAGCUAGUUGGUGGGGUAACGGCCUACCAAGGCAUCGACGGUUAGCCGGUCUGAGAGGAUGAUCGGCCACACUGGAACUGAGACACGGUCCAGACUCCUACGGGAGGCAGCAGUGGGGGAUAUUGCACAAUGGGCGCAAGCCUGAUGCAGCGACGCCCGCGUGAGUGAAGAAGUAUUUCGGUAUGUAAAGCUCUAUCAGCAGGGAAGAAAGACCCGCAAGGGGGAUGACGGUACCUGACUAAGAAGCCCCGGCUAACUACGUGCCAGCCGCCGC